rnacentral:rRNA from 1 species
UGUGUGUUAGUGGAAGCGUCUGGAAAGGCGCGCGAUACAGGGUGACAGCCCCGUACACAAAAAUGCACAUGCUGUGAGCUCGAUGAGUAGGGCGGGACACGUGGUAUCCUGUCUGAAUAUGGGGGGACCAUCCUCCAAGGCUAAAUACUCCUGACUGACCGAUAGUGAACCAGUACCGUGAGGGAAAGGCGAAAAGAACCCCGGCGAGGGGAGUGAAAAAGAACCUGAAACCGUGUACGUACAAGCAGUGGGAGCACGCUUAGGCGUGUGACUGCGUACCUUUUGUAUAAUGGGUCAGCGACUUAUAUUCUGUAGCAAGGUUAACCGAAUAGGGGAGCCGAAGGGAAACCGAGUCUUAACUGGGCGUUAAGUUGCAGGGUAUAGACCCGAAACCCGGUGAUCUAGCCAUGGGCAGGUUGAAGGUUGGGUAACACUAACUGGAGGACCGAACCGACUAAUGUUGAA